GGUGGGAUUACUAGUAAGGGUCUACCAGCUCAUUGCAGACUCCUUAUGUUCUUAUGUUCUUAACCCGGUAGCAGCGACGGGCCAAAUUUGUGGCUUUACCGUGUUCCAGCGACGGCCAAAUUUGUGGCUUUACCGUGUUCCAGCGACGGGCCAAAUUUGUGGCUUUACCAUGUACCAGCGACGGGCCAAAUUUGUGGCUUUACCAUGUACCAGCGACGGGCCAAAUUUGUGGCUUUACCAUGUACCAGCGACGGGCCAAAUUUGUGGCUUUACCGUGUACCAGCGACGGGCCAAAUUUUUGCCAUAAUAUAAACCCCCCAAAAAUAGAUGAUGCAUAAACUGAUCACAAAUGCGUUGAUAUAUAUUAUGAAAUGGUUGACGUAAGUGAUGAUUUUUUCCCAUUAUUCUCGCUUAGAGGGAAGGGCCUUGAAGAAAUAUGAUCCCCGCAGCUACCGGGUUAAUUGUACAUUCACAAAGAGUAUUAUUCAAUGGGCCUGUUGUGUUGACUUCAUAACCCGGGAUCUUGCUGUGAGGGGCUGACAACACCAACCGUCUGCUGUCUUUACAUUUCUAGGCACAGAAUCAAUACUUUUUUUUUCUAUUUUUGCUUUAAAGUUUGCUCCAAGAUGUUAAUUCUCGGUGUGCUCCUCUCCUGCUAUACUCAACACUGUAUAUACGUUCAUUAUAUUUAAUUACUAUGGUGUGGUACAAUGAAAGUUGUGCCAAUUAAGACAUAUCCUCUAAUUUCUUUGCCUUUUCCAGCACUGAAUCUGUAUUUUCUAUAGUUUUUUUCUAACUUUGUACCAUACCUCCUCAUAUUGCUUAAGGGAUUGGAAUGGCAAGCACUUCGUCUCUCUAUCUUUUAUCCAACAAGGAAAUGUAUCAACCAAUCAAUCAGCCAUCUGCAAAUAAAUUUUCUAACUCCUUUUCACUGGUAAACUUAACAAUACUACACAUGGUCUCUGAAACCCCAUCAUCUAACAUUUGUUCAAUCAUUUUCGGCAACAUUACAAUUGGGUGAAGAUUCCUUUUUUAACAAACUGACCUCAUUUUGUAAGCAGCAGACAAGUGGAGGUGGUAUGACUUUGCACGGAGUCUCUGGGUGGUGAGGGGAGUGAGGGUGAUGGUGAGGGUGGAGGAGAGGGUAAGGAAGGAAAGAGGGAAGGUUGCAUAAGGUGGAGGAGAGGGAAAGGAAGGAAAGAUUGAAGGUUGUGUAAGGUGGAGGAGAGGGAAAGGAAGGAAAGAUUGAAGGUUGUGUAAGGUGGAGGAGAGGGUAAGGAAGGAAAGAGGGAAGGUUGCGUAAGGUGGAGGAGAGGGAAAGGAAGGAAAGAGGGAAGGUUGCGUAAGGUGGAGGAGAGGGAAAGGAAGGAAAGAGGGAAGGUUGCGUAAGGUGGAGGAGAGGGUAAGGAAGGAAAGAGGGAAGGUUGUGUAAGGUGGAGGAGAGGGAAAGGAAGGAAAGAAGGAAGGUUGCAUAAACAGAGAGCGCGGCACAUACACGGACUAGACAGACAAGGUAAUAAUCUCCUUCCACGGCUGUUCUCUCCCACUGGAUCAGCAAGAAAUAUAUAUCUUCGUCCCAUCACGCAACAGGGAAGCUACAGUGGUGUGCUCGGUGGGUCCAGGAGCAAUAUUUACAGAUCAGUUCUUGGGAAGUGAAUUUUCUUUAUCACACGCAAGAAAUAACUUUGCCGGUCUAUAUCAAGCAGACUCAAUUGUUUCCUGCCACUCAUUUCUUGCAAGCACUUCCUAUUAGUUUGUCGUCUCCUCUAUUCUAUGAUCCAAUUUGAUUUUCUUUUACACAUCAAUCAAUCAGUUAAUCAGGGCAUAUGAUGGGGGCACAUCACCGUACAUCAGACAGACAUAUAAUUACCAAGUAGACCAUUAUUUUCAGCCACUCAUUUCUUGCAAACACUUCUUUUUUUUUCUUUCCUACUCUAAGGUAUAUAGUCCAUAAUGGCUUUUUAUUGCAUAUCAGACAUAUCAAGCAGACUUACUUCUUCAUGGCCACUCAUGUCCUAUAAUCAUUGUGAUCUGCUCUCAUCCCACUCAUCAAUCUAUAAUCAGUUUGUUUACUUUCACACAUCAAGCAGUUGUCUCAGCACUGUUACACUUCACUCCCUUCUCUUCAUUCAACAUUUCUGUUAUCAACUGAGUUUAUUGAAGUUUAUUAAACUUCCUCUCUUUUCUGUGCUUGAGCCAUUCACUUUUACCAAUUAAGGUUUCCCUCGCACAUCCUAACACCUACAGCACCUGCACAGUUCACACUUCCCCCACAGACUAACAGCUGCAUGGUGGCCGAGUGCCUCAAGCUUCAUUCUUCUAUUCCAUCCAGUCAGGGCUUCCCAAGACACACGUAACACAGACAGAACUAUAAAAGCCAGACUCACCUCAAACUACAGAAUAUGUAACAGCAAGGGAGGCACACAAUACUGACAGCUUUGUAUACUAUGCUCUUAAGAAGGCAUUACAUAUUGGAAAUAGUUAUUACAACGAUGCUAACAUAACACUAGAAUGACGCGAGUAACGAAAAGUUCCUCGUGACUACAAGUCGACGAGUCGUACGACGUCCCGUCAACUUUACAACAAUACUGCAUGCACGGUGACGGGUGAAGAAUGUCUCAAUCAUCGCAAUGGAAACAACAGUGAUGGCGGUGCUGGCAAUGGUGGUGAUGAGGUGAGAGGUGAGGAGUGUCCACCACCAGAGGAAUGGUGAUGGACAGCAGGAAACAUUAACAAAAUAAUGAUGAGUUUUCUCUGAGGAAGGUAUGAUGAAACAGGUCAACAAAUAAGGUAGUCAGCAACACAGCUCCUUACAGGCUGCCGUACAGAGGACAGAAGGACUUCUGCAUCUUUCUGAGUCAGAAUACUAAGGUCUGUCACAUGACAAAGAUCCCUCUGGGACCCAAAUUGAAAAGUUGCCUUACAAGUUAUAUAAAAAGCUACAUUAUAGCUUCUCAAAAAUUGCACUUUGUGCAAUGCUCAAAACUCAACAAAGAUAAUCUCAAAAUAUAGUUGAGUAAAAAAUACACAACACAAAUAUGCAUCUUGUGUUGGCAUCUGUGAGCACAACAAAUUUCUGCCCUGGCAGAGCACAGCGCUGGUGAGUCUCUGGGCUGCCCUGGGCCUGGCUGGCACACCACUGCCAGCCACACCCCACACAGGGGCCAGGUGAGCAUCUGUGGCUCACGCAGGUGUCCUCAGGUGUGGAGGACACAGACACAAUGAACAAGUGUACAGGUGCACACACACAGGCACCUCAUCCACCAGAGGGAGCUUUGCUGCGGCUCUCAGCAACACAGAUGCCAACAAGAGUGUUUGGCACAAACAUGAGUCAGCUUCCACAGCCCUGGGCUGCUUGGCUGAGGCUGACAUGCCAAAACAAGAGUUCCUUAAUACGACAAGCCAAGACUCUCGUGAGCUCGGAGGGGCAGGGUCGGGAGUGGCGGGGGGUUGGGGGGUUGGGGGGUGAGGUAGUGAGGAAGUCCAGCCGAGGCUCCAUCUCUCCCUGUCCCACAAACACCUCCAGAAACAACUCUAUAUAUAUAAAUACACAGAAGAAUUCAUCAUCACUUCGGUGCAUCCAGCCUCAGCUCUGUUUCUCUCCCAUCUUAAAACACCUCCACUAAUGUCUCUCCAAAUAAACAAGCAAAAAUUGCAGUCACUUAAGUAAAAAUCAAUUUAAUCUUUCCUAGAACUUCUCUGCAUGUGUUGUGGCAACCAAGUCAGACCUUACAAAACACAGCACUGGGGGACAAACCUAAACUCCGGGGCAAUGAAGGCUUCCCUCACAAAGGUCUCUUGUCUGGAGUGAGUGAUUCAGCUUGGCAAUCAUUCUGGACUGAGAUGUGAAGUGUGUCAUACCUCUGAUCUGAUCCUGCCCUUCUGGUGGUGCGAUAUUUGUGGUGAUGUUAGGAAAGUGACUAAAAAUUCAUUCAUUCUUUCACUACAUCAAUAAA